rnacentral:rRNA from 1 species
GAUGAACGCUAGCGGCAGGCCUAAUACAUGCAAGUCGGACGGGAUUGGAGAGCUUGCUUUCCAUGAGAGUGGCGCACGGGUGCGUAACACGUAUGUAACCUACCUUUAUCAGGGGGAUAGCCUCUCGAAAGAGAGAUUAAGCCCGCAUAACAUCACGAUAUAGCAUUAUAAUGUGAUCAAAUAUUUAUAGGAUAAAGAUGGGCAUGCGGAACAUUAGCUAGUUGGUAAGGUAAUGGCUUACCAAGGCUACGAUGUUUAGGGGAUCUGAGAGGAUGACCCCCCACACUGGUACUGAGACACGGACCAGACUCCUACGGGAGGCAGCAGUAAGGAAUAUUGGUCAAUGGGCGGAAGCCUGAACCAGCCAUGCCGCGUGCAGGAAGACGGCCCUACGGGUUGUAAACUGCUUUUGCAGGGGAAUAAACCUCAUUACGUGUAAUGAGUUGAAUGUACUCUGAGAAUAAGGAUCGGCUAACUCCGUGCCAGCAGCCGCGGUAAUACGGAGGAUCCAAGCGUUAUCCGGAUUUAUUGGGUUUAAAGGGUGCGUAGGCGGCCUAUUAAGUCAGGGGUGAAAGACGGUAGCUUAACUAUCGCAGUGCCUUUGAUACUGAUG